GUCUCCAAUGAGUCUCGUUAAGGUUAUUUGAUUUUUGGGACUGGAUGAGGUCGCGGGCUUGCUCGCACCUCAUCGCGGGUCGGCCCAGCGUUGCACUGCUGCUGGGAUCGGCCCACCUCCG
rnacentral:snRNA from 1 species